AACAGGAUUAGAUACCCUGGUAGUCCACGCUGUAAACGAUGUCGAUUUGGAGGUUGUGCCCUUGAGGCGUGGCUUCCGGAGCUAACGCGUUAAGUCGACCGCCUGGGGAGUACGGCCACAAGGUUAAAACUCAAAUGAAUUGACGGGGGCCCGCACAAGCGGUGGAGCAUGUGGUUUAAUUCGAUGCAACGCGAAGAACCUUACCUGGCCUUGACAUCCAGAGAACUUAGCAGAGAUGCUUUGGUGCCUUCGGGAACUCUGAGACAGGUGCUGCAUGGCUGUCGUCAGCUCGUGUUGUGAAAUGUUGGGUUAAGUCCCGCAACGAGCGCAACCCUUAUCCUUUGUUGCCAGCGGUUCGGCCGGGAACUCAAAGGAGACUGCCGGUGAUAAACCGGAGGAAGGUGGGGAUGACGUCAAGUCAUCAUGGCCCUUACGGCCAGGGCUACACACGUGCUACAAUGGCGCAUACAAAGAGAAGCGACCUCGCGAGAGCAAGCGGACCUCAUAAAGUGCGUCGUAGUCCGGAUUGGAGUCUGCAACUCGACUCCAUGAAGUCGGAAUCGCUAGUAAUCGUAGAUCAGAAUGCUACGGUGAAUACGUUCCCGGGCCUUGUACACACCGCCCGUCACACCAUGGGAGUGGGUUGCAAAAGAAGUAGGUAGCUUAACCUUCGGGAGGGCGCUUACCACUUUGUGAUUCAUGACUGGGGUGAAGUCGUAACAAGGUAACC
rnacentral:rRNA from 1 species